CCUACGGGUGGCAGCAGUGAGGAAUAUUGGUCAAUGGCCGAGAGGCUGAACCAGCCAAGUCGCGUGAGGGAAGACGGCCCUACGGGUUGUAAACCUCUUUUGUCGGGGAGCAAAGCGAACCACGUGUGGUUCAUUGAGAGUACCCGAAGAAAAAGCAUCGGCUAACUCCGUGCCAGCAGCCGCGGUAAUACGGAGGAUGCGAGCGUUCUCCGGAUUUAUUGGGUUUAAAGGGUGCGCAGGCGGAGGUGCAAGUCAGCGGUAAAAUUGGGGGGCUCAACCCCGUACUGCCGUUGAAACUGCAUGCCUUGAGUGCGCGAGAAGUAGGCGGAAUGCGUGGUGUAGCGGUGAAAUGCAUAGAUAUCACGAAGAACCCCGAUUGCGAAGGCAGCAUACUGGAGUGCAACUGACGCUCAUGCACGAAAGUGUGGGUAUCGAACAGGAUUAGAUACCCCUGUAGUC
rnacentral:rRNA from 1 species